AGUUAGCAGUCUGCAAUUGUAGCUAGCGAUCAGGGCUAUUGAAAUCCAUCACUUUUUUUUUUCUUUAUUCGCAUUCAAAGUUUGUGCCGGAUGCAAUUCGCUGAUGGCAUUGGCAAAAAAAAUAAUGGCCAGGGGAAGCAUUUAAAAACUGUACACGUGAGCUACGACAGUGAUGUUUCUGCACAUCAUACGCAGCUAAAGUGUCUCGCUGCCUCCAUUUCAGUUCUCCCACACUAAGCGAUCCUGCAAGACCAGCUCGGGGACCCAUUGGUCCACGCGGAGGCUCUCCUGGCAGUAGAUGCCAACUUCCCGGAGACGGCAGUGGUCAGCCUGGGGG